ensembl:processed_transcript
ACUUAAUUACGAACACCUGACCUGCAGUGCAGCAGAAUUCAGAGGUAAGCGUGUUUUUAGAUGCUUUAAUGUUUUAUUUACCCCCCGAUUUUGUUUUACACACAGUGUAUCUUAAAUGUGACUUGGUGUAGUGUUUCGAAUUUUGAAGCAUUUAAAACUUUCCAGUUUGGUUUUUAGUCUUGUUUGCGCUCCGGUGACGCGCAGCUAACCUCGAGGUAAUGUCACAUGUUUAACGUUAGUCUAAAUAAGCGUUUUUAUGGCAAAUUCAAAGCGAUAAACUCCAAACGCAGUUUAAAGUUACUGAGCAACGUUAUAAAACAAUAUCCUUUUUAUACGCUGUAUCAUUAGUGUUAUUAUUACAAAGUGAACUGCUGUCGUUUCACUGUUGUUGUUGUUUUUGCUUUUAGAGAUGUAACUUACUUCAGAGACGCACUAACUUGCACAGCAUUGAAUGGAAAAGGCUUUGUCCAUGUCCAGUUGAGGGGCAUCAAGAACACGCAGAUGGCCUAAACCUGUGUCAGCCUGGACAGACUGCAGUUCUGCUAUUCCACGCCAAGGCUUUUGUAUGGAUGUCUGACUACUACUGUGUUCUCUAAAGGUUUUCUGGAAGCUCCAUUUGAGUUCAUCAAGGACAUACUGAUGGCCUAAACCAGUGUCAGCCUAGACAGACAGACAGACAGACAUCUAUUGCAGCUCUGCUACACCACACCAAACUCUCUGCUUUUGUAUGGAUGUCUGACUAGUACGGUGUUCUCUAAAGGUAUAACUGGAGCAAAACAACAGCACCCGUUACAGUGAAAUUUGUGUUCAUAAAAGAUAGUGAUAUAUGUGUAACAGGUCCAGUACAUUUGUCAUAAAGGUUAAAUCACAGUAAGUACUGUAAAAAUAACUUGUUUGCCUUUGCCACAACAGGUCAUAUAUACGCUAACACAUUUGUAUUUACUGUUUUGUUUUGCCUCACUAAAGUGUUGUUGGAGCUUGGUAUGUUCACAGUUGAAAUCACUGAAGUCACAUGGAACGUUUUGACAAUGUGUUUUGUGCCUUAUCUUGACAAUGACCAUCUUGGGACUAUUGCUGUCUGUAGAGGAUGAGGAGCAUUUAAUCUAAAAUAUUUUAGUUUGUGUUCUGAAGAUUAACAGGUCUCUGGGAUGACACAAGUACUUAAUAACAGAACCUAUAUGAACAGUUAAUGUGACAUGUAAUAGUGAAAUAGUGGUCCAACAUUCACAAAUGUGAGCCAUUAUUAUAAGACCCAUGUGAACAUGCAAUUUUUAUGAUACUAAUAAUAAUAGAAUAACAAAUUGCUUUUACUGUUGUGUUUGUGAGCGAGAAUCAAAUCAUAUAUUCUACACAUUUUCUUGAUGAUUUACUGAAAUAUUUGUCUACAUGUUCCACUGUCACAGGUGCUCAGUUUUGCUGCAGUAAUGCUAAACACAAUAGAUGUAC